UACGAAGGGUGCAAGCGUUACUCGGAAUUACUGGGCGUAAAGGGCGCGUAGGCGGUUCGAUAAGUCCCGUGUGAAAUCCCUCGGCUCAACUGAGGAAUGGCACGGGAAACUGGCGGGCUGGAGGGCAGUAGAGGCAGGCGGAAUUCCGGGUGGAGUGGUGAAAUGCGUAGAGAUCCGGAGGAACACCAGAGGCGAAGGCGGCCUGCUGGGCUGCACCUGACGCUGAGCCGCGAAAGCCAGGGGAGCGAACGGG
rnacentral:rRNA from 1 species